CCUUUAGAAAAAAAUAGGGGAGGAAAAGAUAAUACCGCAUACGCCCUACGGGGGAAAGGAGGGGAUUUUCGGACCUUUCGCUAUCAGAUGACUUCGCAAGAAAUAAGCUAGUUGGUGGGGUAAAGGCUAACCAAGGCGACGAUCUCUAGCUGGUCUGAUAGGAUGAUCAGCCACACUGGGACUGAGACACGGCCCAAACUCCUACGGGAGGCACCAUUGGGGAAUAUUGGACAGUGGGCGCAAGCCUGAUCCAGCCAUGCCGCGUGUGUGAAGAAGGCCUUCGGGUUGUAAAGCACUUUCA
rnacentral:rRNA from 1 species